rnacentral:snRNA from 1 species
AUUAUUUCCUGGCCUUUUGGCUAAGAUCAAGUGUAGCAUCCGUUCUUAUUAGUUUAAUACCUGAUAUGUCCUAUCUCCAAGGACAAUAUAGUAAAUCCAAGGAUUUUUGGAGCAGGGAGACAGAAUAGGAGCUCACUCCAUCUACUUCAUGCAUCUACCUGGUUUUGUAGUACUUCCUGGAAUGGUUCACCCCCU